GACGUAGGGCGCGAGCGUUGUCCGGAUUUAUUGGGCGUAAAGAGCUCGUAGGCGGCUUGUUGCGUCAGCUGUGAAAACCCGCAGCUCAACUGUGGGCUUGCAGCUGAUACGGGCAGGCUUGAGUUCGGUAGGGGAGACUGGAAUUCCUGGUGUAGCGGUGAAAUGCGUAGAUAUCCGGAGGAACACCGGUGGCGAAGGCGGCUUUCUGGACCGACACUGACGCUGAGGCGCGAAAGCUAGGGGAGCAAACGGG
rnacentral:rRNA from 1 species